rnacentral:rRNA from 1 species
GAUGAACGCUAGCGGCAGGCCUAACACAUGCAAGUCGAGGGGUAGAAGGAGCUUGCUCCUUUGAGACCGGCGCACGGGUGCGUAACGCGUAUGCAAUCUACCUUGUACAGGGGAAUAGCCCAGAGAAAUUUGGAUUAAUGCCCCAUAGUAUAUAACCUUCGCAUGUUGGUUAUAUUAAAGUUCCAACGGUACAAGAUGAGCAUGCGUCCCAUUAGUUAGUUGGUAAGGUAACGGCCUACCAAGACGAUGAUGGGUAGGGGUCCUGAGAGGGAGAUCCCCCACACUGGUACUGAGACACGGACCAGACGCCUACGGGAGGCAGCAGUGAGGAAUAGUGGUCAAUGGUCGCAAGACUGAACCAGCCAUGCCGCGUGCAGGAAGACGGUCCUAUGGAUUGUAAACUGCUUUUAUACAGGAAGAAACCCUCCCACGUGUGGGAGCUUGACGGUACUGUAGGAAUAAGGAUCGGCUAACUCCGUG